AGCCUGACUUAGUUCCUGGGCUGAUGAGAGAGGAGGGGAGAGCUGCUGGGAAGAAAAGCAAAUAGCCCACCCUGUGUUUGUUGUAAAUGGUGUGUCACAUAAACAGACCACACCAUAUCACCCCUCCCCAUCCUCCUACCCCAUGCCAUAUCUCCUUGUACCAUCAAUCCGAGUAUAAAUAAACUCCACCUCUUACAAUCUACUCCCUGGAUGUCAGCCUCUCUUUCUGACCGAGGAUAACUAUUGUAGCACAACCCAACAUUAAACUGACGUGCACCAUUCUGUACAGUGAGGUUGCAAAAUGCAUACAAAUCUCCAACACUCUGCUGACUCAGUAACUGCAGAGCUCCAAACCUCCUCUGGCAUCAACAUCAGCACAAAAACUGUGUGCCUGGAGCUUCGUGGCUCGUGGGUUCCAGUGGCUGACCAGUUCCAGUGAGUGUAAUGUCUAGGCGGCGGUGUACUUUAUGCCCAUAUAAUGUAUAAUAAUCUGGUGCCAACAUUUAAAUGCCGCACUGACAAAGCAAUUACACCACAUGUUUAAGAGAUUUAUACUAGCUUAUAGAAAAGAUACUGUAUGUGACAAUACAAUCAAAUAAUAUCAA